GUUAAAUUUUAUAAAUAAAUCAAAUAGUUAAAUGAGUCAUUAGGCGGAUCGUGUAUCUAUUUGACCCACCAACAUGAUUAUUAAUCGGAUCAGAUGGAUCAUGUCAAUCCGUGUAUAUUCGUGUCAUGUUCAUGUUCCACAAGUCGACCUGUUUAAUUAAACGAGUCGUGUUCGGGUUAAGCUAAUCUGCAUUAUACCCCCAUAUCGAUACGAUCCGUUUACGAUCCAUAAAUAUGAAUUGUCAGUCCUAAUUUUCGGUACUAUGUAUCUGUCCAUGACAGGCUAUUCUCAGUACCAUGUAUCUGCCAUGCCAUGGUAAGCUAUUCUCGGUGUCACAUUCUUGCCCAUGACUAGGCUAUUAUCAAUUUAACAUGGGCAGUCCUAACAUCCUUUUUUUAUCACUAAAUUAUUAAAUCUCAAUCAUAUCAUAAAAUAAAAUAUUGUUUCAUAUUAUGUUCUUUUUAAAAUUCUUAACAGUCGGUAUUAUAACCCAAAUCAUUCGAAAACCAUCGUUAUUUUGUGCAAACAUAUGAUACAAAACAUAUCGAUAAUCAUGCUGACAAUCAUAAAAAAAUAUCAAUCAUGAGAAAUAAAAUCAUACAGUGC
rnacentral:lncRNA from 1 species